AUAUUGGACAAUGGAGGAAACUCUGAUCCAGUGACGCCGCGUGGGUGAAGAAGGUCUUCGGAUCGUAAAACCCUGUUGUUAGAGAAGAAAGUGCGUGAGAGUAACUGUUCACGUUUCGACGGUAUCUAACCAGAAAGCCACGGCUAACUACGUGCCAGCAGCCGCGGUAAUACGUAGGUGGCAAGCGUUAUCCGGAUUUAUUGGGCGUAAAGGGAACGCAGGCGGUCUUUUAAGUCUGAUGUGAAAGCCUUCGGCUUAACCGGAGUAGUGCAUUGGAAACUGGGAGACUUGAGUGCAGAAGAGGAGAGUGGAACUCCAUGUGUAGCGGUGAAAUGCGUAGAUAUAUGGAAGAACACCAGUGGCGAAAGCGGCUCUCUGGUCUGUAACUGACGCUGAGGUUCGAAAGCGUGGGUAGCAAA
rnacentral:rRNA from 1 species